rnacentral:lncRNA from 1 species
AUGUCUGCCUGCCAGCUGCCUGCCUGCUCCCACCACGAUGAUGAUGGACUGAACCCCUGAAACUAUUCUUCAGCCAGGAAAAAAUAGCAGCGAAGGAGAGAGAGAGAAAUCCUUCCCUGGUGAGCUGGAUUCCUUGAAGUUGCAGACUAUGAAAAGCGGGAUGCAGUUGUAAGUAACCCAGCACUCUCCUACAGUGAGAGGGGUUGUCCAGGCAGAGGAGCCAUCCGGCAGCCAUCAGGCCAGCAAGCCUGGAGUACCUACUUAGGAAUAGUGGAAGCAAGAGAGACCCUGCCUCAGCAAGGGGGAAGAAUCAACUCUUACAGGUUAUCCUCUGAACUCCACACAUGAGCUGUAGCACAUAAAACAAAUAAAUAAAAAAUUUCCUCUC